CUACACUCUGACUCGGUCUGACUCGGGCUUAACUGAAUUUACACAGAAUUCCAAGCCCGAACCAUGUAUGAUGUUAAUGCCAAGGAGGUUAAAAAGUGUGAAAACCACAAAUCAAGUUUUAUUUCUUCUAACUCUCAAUGUCCAGGGUGUAUCAGGAGAUCCAGCAAGCAAUACUCCAGGUGUUUAACCUGGGUGACACAGCAAAGAAGGCGGCAUACAAAUGUAUGGGGAGUCUGAGUUGGAGGGUUUAUAAAACAGCAAACUUCACUGCAACUAGAAUGUUAAAAUAAGCAAAAAGGAGCAAAUGUGAUUUUUAUAAUAGCAAUUAAUUUAGUUGAGCAUUUAUAGUACUUGUUUAUGAUCUAGUAUACCACUUUAAUAUAAUAGAUAACCAUAUUUUAAAUAUUUAUAGUUAACAGAGAGGUUUACCUGGAUUGUUGCAAUAAAUUGCACAGUGAUUAAUUUUAUUUUCACAAAAGCAUCGUACAAGUACCUUGGAUAUAAAUAUCUUGGUAACAUAUCACUAAAAGCCGGCACAAUGCAUUCCUUUACGCAAACCUAACAAAAUGCAUUGAAGCUGCUGAAAUAAUUUUGUAAAUACAACAUUUCUGCACACAUCCUAAAUUUUUAUACACUUAAGGAUUACAAGUUCAAAACCAUUUAUUGAACUAACUGACCUAAAGAAUACUUCACAUUUCUCUCCUUCAAAGUUCUCCACAGGAUACAGAUAACAUUUAAAACCACAAGAUACUGUGUGUAAGGAUGGGAAUGACUCAGUACAACAUUUAGAAACCGAGUUCUGUUGUUACGUUGCUGAAAGGGUCAUUGACUUUGGCCUCAGCCAGUGUCCAGGAGCGGACAAAAUGACAACUGCGAAUGCCAAAUGGGAGGGCAUCCCGUCCAUGAGAAAGGAGGGUUUCUUACCUGGACAGAAGAUCCCAGGUGGGUGGACAGGCAUACUGUCCAAAUUGCUUACAGUGCCUUUCCUGGCCGGGAUAAAAUGGAAAGACAGGGAAGGAGAGUCUAUGUAGGCUGUUAAUUCACCCAGUAUGCCAGGUGGCAACUUCCCUUGGGCAGAGCUCCCUUCAUACUCCUGCAGGGCACCAUGGGACAUUUAGUGUUAGGGAACAACCCUGUCAGGGUGUGUGGGUGCCGGUAGAGGGAUACUGUAAGAAAGAUGCUUCCAGGCUGUAGUCAUUUGGCCCCAGAAGUACUCCCGGGUCCUGGGAUGAAAGGAGCAACCCAGCCUCAUCCAGGUGAGCUGAGUCAGGAGGACGUGGACAAAGCUCGCCUGGAGAAGUGACAGAGGAGUUAUUGUUGAGAAAAGUCUGUCUGAGGAGGACCGAAGCCUGUAUAAAGUAUCGGAAUUAAUAAAACAUCACAUUUACUGAAGCCUUGACUGUGUGACUGCACUUGUGUUUUGGGCUUGAGGAGCUGCAGCACCCUCUAGUGUACACAUAAUGUAAGUCAGUCUGAUGCAUCAAAAUGGAAAAUACCCUCACAAUCUGACAAAAUUAAAGUUCAUUAUUUUGCAUGAAUAAAAUAUAAUGGCGAACUAUAAUUCAAAUGAGGCUAAAGUCACAGGUAGUAUGCUGUAUGCAUCAUAUUAAUGUUGCUUGUUUCAUUUUUCAGCUGAAGAAAGACCAAAGUCUUAUAAUCACGAAAGAAGGUUCAAAAGUUUAUCCAUCCUUCUUACACUUUUCCACUUUUUCCUCAUCACUAUUCUGCCAGAGAAAAAAAAAUCAUGUCUAUCUGAAAGUUUGCAUCUUCAGAAAUUCCUGAACCGCUUAUGCUCAUGCACAGAGCUGAUUACAUUCUGAGCACCUCUAGUUACCUCCUUCCAGUAGCUGCCAUAUAAAGUGCCAACAAACUGCAGCAAAAAUUGAUAUCUGAAUUUUUUUUUUAAAUAAAAAAUCUGAAACAAAUAAAUAAUGGUUAUAUGCACCAGUCUGGUACACGAAAAUAUCACCAUUACACAAAAAAUUAUAAUUAUUUUGCUUAUUCCACUAAUAAAUGGCCACACAUAUUUCAAAUGAGGCUACCAUCAUUUUAAGAUGCUAUAUACAGCUUAAGUUAAGGUUAAUAGGAUUACCAUAUUUCCUGAGCCAAAAAAAGAGGAUACAGAAAUAAAAAAAAGUCUUUCUCCAUAUAAUUUUGAAGUUUAUGUCCAUGUAGGCCUGGGGACAGGGGGGUGUGGAUGCCCCGGCGAGGAUAUUUACUUAUUAACUCCCCUAAUGCGCACUUGGUGCUGCUGCUUAUCGUUUGAGAACCACUGAUCUAUUGUAUCACCUUUGUGGGGUCAUCUAAUAUUUGUUAAGAAUAAAAUUUAAAAUAAAAAAAAGGAAGUGAAGUAAAGUGAAAAAAGUAAACUAGGUUGGGAAUGAUGGGCCGCAGUGUGAAAAGCACAGGCAAUCUGGAAAUUUUGUUUAAAAAAAAAAAGAGGACAUGUCCAAAGAAAUCUUUGGUAACCCUAAGUAGUUUAUUUUUGUCAGCAGAUCCACUGAGAAUUAAAAUAUAACAGAUCUCAAAUCAAAGAACUGUCUCUCCUGUCUUCACUGCGACACUUCAAGUGAGCUACAUAAUCCUUACACGUUAUGAGGCACUACACUCUUUUCUUCUUUCUAACAAAAAAAAAUGUACUUUUAUGUAUUAAAAUAUUAUAAUUGUUAUUAAGAUUUUUUUAAGUUCAUAUCUGAAUUAUUAAACACGGUCUAAAAAAUGUAUUUCGCUUGUCUGGUGCACGGAAUGUUAGUUAAAUGCUACAGUUUCUUUUAAAAGGUUACAGUAGUGUAAAUAGGGCUGCUGUAACUGUAAUGCAGUCACCACUGAAGCUGGGUUACUUUUGACCACAAAAGGCGAUUGUAUAAGUUUAGGCCUCACACUAGAAAACACAGAAAA